rnacentral:piRNA from 1 species
UGAUCAGAGAAGCAGGGACGCUCUGGG